rnacentral:lncRNA from 1 species
GUGGCAAGGGUACCGGGGUGGGGUGAGGAUUUUCCCCAUUCGUGUGGGCCAGCAAGGCUUAGGUAGCGGCCGAUGGUUUCCGAGAAACUAUGCGCCAGCACCUUACUUGGAGCAGCUAGGUGUCACACCUCUGGCUGUAGGUGCACUACAGUGCCCCACUAUCCUGGACAGGAUUGAUGGAGGUGGGAGGCAAAAAUAAAAUGAAACAAGAUUAAAUUAAAAAUGGAGAGCUAGAGUUGUCAAGCUUCGAUUCUAACACCUCAUAAUAUCCUGAAGGAAGACAGAACUGGAAUAAUAAGGAUGGCCGCAGUUCUUCAUGCACGCACUGGACCUGCCAAUUGUCUGAAUGACCUAGCAGCUUCAAAGACCGGUCAUGCAACACCAGCCUGGUAUGGUAUCCCCAUUUCAGGUGGACAGAUUUACUACUCCUUCAGCCGACGCCCCUUCCUUAGACACAACGCAAGCCCCAUUAAGUCUGCAGAGGCCAUUUCAAGCUUGGAGGGUCGUUUAUUCGCCUGCUUAAUUUAUGAGCUUCCAGGAGUUUUUACGGAAUCCAGCAUCUCUGGACUCGGGAUUUGAAUUUCAUUGGACAAUAUGAACAUGAUUAAAGGAUAGCUCCUUGGAAUGUGGUUUGCGUUCUGGUGCUGGGAAAAAGCAGAUGAUUCAGAUCGAUUCCAAAACCAUUGACAUGCUUAAUCCUUCUGUGGACAAGCUGCUCAAAACUUUAAAAGACAUGAACUAGGCACGUCUGGAGCAGCCACAUAGACUCAUCUGCACAAUACUACAAUGCCGAGACCAUGGCGCCUUUCUGAAUUCAAAGCACAACAGUUACUGUCCUCGCAUCUUUUUCAGCAAUAAUUAAAAAAAACUGCUCUAUAAAGACUCAACCCAACUCCUACGAAACAUUGCAUGUCUCAAUAUAGCUAGACAUGGGAAUGCAUGGAAGAUGUUGAUGUAUGUAGCUGGCUCCACAGGUUUUUUUGUCCAUCAUAUAAUCAGAGAAAUUGACAUAUAAAAUGAGGGCAACAAAAAGGGAGU